UCCGGGAGCAUUCCUAUAGCCCCAGGUUUUAGCUGCUUUCACCGUCUCUCUUGCUCUUCAUUCCUUUUCGCUCUAACCCUAACCUUUUUGCGCCUCUCUCUUCUCCAUCUUCUGCAUCUCAUAAACCAGAAACUGAAAAGAAGAAACUGAAAUCUUCAGAAAAACUAUACCGAAUCCCAAACUUAAACCCCUUUCUCAUUCUUUUUCAUCUUCUCCAUAGAACCUAAAUUCUCCAACAAACCCAAAGACAACAGCAACUGUUUGUUUCUCAUUAAACAAACCCCUCAAUUCACGUAUGAUUCUAUUUCUUCGUUUUCUCUUCUUUGAUUUGUAUUUGAUUAGAUUUAAUGUUCUUGUCAGAUUCUAGGGUUUUCAUGAAAAAAAUCAAAUUCGGAAAGAUUGUUGUAAAGACUCCAGGGUUUAAGUGAAAUUGGGAAUUUGGUAGAGAUUUUGAUGUCUUCAUGUUUGUUAAUGCAGCUUUUAUACCAAUAAACAUCAAUCUGAAUCGAUUUAAGUUGUUUUUGUGAUUUCAGUCAUGUGAAGGGUCUUACCAAGGGAUGGGAAGAUUAAACUCAAGGCAAUGCUUCCAUCAUAUAUGUCAUCUGAUAUCAAUUUGGGAGAAUUCCAAAACCUUGGCCUCAUGCUUGUUCAGGACUAUAACAUACAAAUCAUGCCAAAGACACAAGAAAAGUAAGACCAUUUCCUCUAUAUUGCUUGUUGUGUGUGGGAUUAGUUAUUGUGAUAGUAACUGAUCUGAGUUCUUCAUGAGUUUGAUUGUUUUGGGAAUUGAAGUCAUUCCUGUGUGCUUGAAUGUGAGAUUGUAACUGAUCCUAAUAUUCAAGAUUCUGGAAUUGUAUUGAAGCCAAAGCAUACUAGUAUGUAUUGAAACCAAAGCAAGAAAUGGUUGCUUGAUCUGCAGCUCAUAUCCGUUCUACACCUCUUAACAUGUUCAUCAUUCUGCAGCCUUCUCUUGUAUCCAACCUUUACUUUAUCUCCCUAGUUAGAUAGAACACUCCAGUGAAGUUUGAUUCAGAUGCUUGGCUCCUACUAUCUAACAAUUAACAUACUACUUGAUGCCUAACACUUUCGUUAGCCUUGUACUGUUUUUUAUACAGUUUCUAUACAGGUGACACAGUUCGAACUUCCUUGUGAAUUUUCUCGGAAAGUGGAAGGAAUCUGAAUAUUCAGGUGGCCAGUUCAUUCCUGUUGGUGGAAUUUCUUACUACAUUACUUCCCCCAUAAAGGUAGAAAUUGCAUUACUUUUAUUUCUAUUAUCUGACACAUGACAUUUUCUCUGCUACUUAUAACUUUAUAAUUUGCAGUUUGGCAGAUAUGGUUGCCAAUCUUUUCAUGUGAUGUUUUAUCUUCUAUUUAUGUUGUUAGCUUGUGCUUUGUUUUCUAAGACUUGGAUUGGAGUUUCAAGAUCCUCUGUUAGAGAUGUAGCUAAACAGCUCAAGGUAAUCUUAUAUAUUGCAUACUGAAGACUCUGAAAAUCACUAUAUAUGUUGUGUAUAAGUGGCAUCUAAUUUAUUUAUAAAGGUUUGCUCUGAAUGGUGUUUUGUGGGUGCAAGUGUUUGUAUGACCAUGGUUUUAGCUUAAUGGUUACUAGAUUAUAUUGUUUUCCCGCAGUGAAAAUCGAUAGAUCUUUUUUGUUCUUGCUUCUUAGUCAGGAUAUUGGGAUUCGAGCAACACCUUCGUAGUUUUGCCUUUUUUUUAGGAACUUCAGGAAAAAAGCGGUUGAAUGUGCAUGUUGAUAGACCAAAGCCACCAAAUGAUUGAUGAAAUUAUGGAUGCAAGGCGGCGAUGUUUUGCGAUAGAGAUGGAGUACUUUGGAGAUGUUUCAAGAGGUGUUUUAUGUAAAGUCUGCAAGAGAGGGUUCAAGUUAGAGUGACAAUAUUGGAUGACUGUAGACUGAGUUCAAUUUUAAUGAUUAGGUGACUGUAGAUUGAAUUCUGUUUUAAUGUUUAGACUUUGGGUAGCUAGAGUUCUUUCAUUCAAUUUGUAUUUGGAUAUUCUUUGUUUUUGGUAAUUGAUAUAAAGUUAAUAUCAGCUGUUGUGUUUAA